rnacentral:rRNA from 1 species
AUGCAAUGCCUAUCGUUCAUUAUCUACAUCGCAUCCUUACAUGUAAUACUCAUCUCACGAGAACAUGGACAAAGCCAGCACAAUAGCAAUUCUGGACAGCUGCUAAGGAUCCACAAUGAGCUAGCGACAACGAUGGGUUGGCCUCUAACAUUUGCAUGGCAGCGAGCCACCAGCCCUUACAUAGCUUCUGAUCCCGUGCCUCUAGCAGGAACUGGUCAGUUGGUGCAACAUGAAGGUGCCUCCACUAAACAUGAUCAUGUUGCGAGCUUGAUUCUUGCCUUCUCGGUCAUCACCCACAUGAAGUCUUAG